rnacentral:rRNA from 1 species
GUAGGUGGCAAGCGUUGUCCGGAAUUAUUGGGCGUAAAGCGCGCGCAGGCGGUUCGUUUAAGUCUGAUGUGAAAGCCCACGGGCUCAACCGUGGAGGGUCAUCGGAAACUGGAGAACUUGAGUACAGAAGAGGAAAGCGGAAUUCCACGUGUAGCGGUGAAAUGCGUAGAGAUGUGGAGGAACACCAGUGGCGAAGGCGGCUUUCUGGUCUGUAACUGACGCUGAGGCGCGAAAGCGUGGGGAGCAAACAGGAUUAGAUACCCUGGUAGUCCACGCCGUAAACGAUGAGUGCUAAGUGUUAGGGGGUUUCCGCCCCUUAGUGCUGCAGCUAACGCAUUAAGCACUCCGCCUGGGGAGUACGGCCGCAAAGGCUG